GACCAGCAGGGGGCGACUCCUCUGCUCCCAUAGACGUCUAUGAGGAAAUUACUCUACUUCUCUGUAGUGACCAGCAGGGGGCGACUCCUCUGCUCCCAUAGACGUCUAUGAGGAAAUGACUCUACUUCUCUGUAGUGACCAGCAGGGGGCGACUCCUCUGCUCCCAUAGACGUCUAUGAGGAAAUUACUCUACUUCUCUCUUGAUUUAUUCCCUCAGUAAGCAAAACUGACUUUAUGGUCUUAAUUUGUAGAUUCAAGUCUUCUUCAUUACAGCAUGUUGUACGUUUAGUAAAUGAUGGUCCAUGUAGAGUCAAAUAGACCAUAAAGCAGAGGAUGCUUUAGGGCGGGGCUACACGCUGAUUGACAGGUCACCUAAUAGACCAUAAAGCGGGUUAUGCUUUAGGGCGGGGCUACACGCUGAUUGACAGGUCACCUAAUAGACCAUACAGCAGGGGAUGCUUUAGGGCGGGGCUACUCACUGAUUGACAGGCCUCUCUACCACGGCUUCCUUAUACAACCAUCUUUCAACAGGUGACACUAAAUGUAGUAUUUAUGAGUUUCCUGUGAAGACAGAAGUUCACUUUGAAAAGAUCACACGCACGUAACCCGGCUGUGACACUUGAUGCUGGACUUUCUUGGGAUAUAUUUGAAAAACGAGGGGUGACUUUUGCAAAGAUCCAUUAAAUUCCAGUUUAAUGAUGUUCAAAUUGUACAUCAUUGUGUAUAAUUAUAAUUACUUAGGCUUUGUAGAGAGAUUCAGUCAAUAUCUCGCAGACUAAUGUAUUUAUUUACCACAUCUUUUCUUCUUUUUGUAAUUUGUUCCUGAGAUCUAAAAUGGAUUCCCACAGACUGUCGAGACCCUUUGUCUGUUUCCAAGCAGAUUGGUGGAAUAUUGAAAGCUCUCGAUGUCUUUUGAUCUGCGCAGGAACGUGAACCAAUAAGAGCCGCGCGGAUACAGGAAGCAGAAGAAGGAGCGAUGAAGGAGAGGAAGCGGAGACUCCUCCGGGUCAGUGGAGCGGUCUCGUCUCUGCUGGUAUCCAGUGAGGACGGAGCUCCUCAGCUGCUCUCCAGGGGCUCUCUGAUUGGCUGGCUGUCCCCCAACACGCUACCACAAGGAUUGAUCAUAACAAAGACAGAUCGGCGCAUCUGAGCGCUAAUUCCUUUUGCCAGAAUGGUGCGAGAACCACUUAGAUUAGAUAAACACGGCCCAGUGCGGCUUUGCAUGACUGGAGAAACUCGGCCUGAUGGGAGUAGUUUGCAAGGAAAAUAGCAAAAAACGAGUUUCCCUCGACCAGCAAACACAGAUAUUGGUUUUCGUGAUGCCGCGGUGACCCUCGUGGCCCAGGUUCUGCUCCAUCACCCUGAUCACAGGUGACAGCAGGUCCUCCGCCUAUCGACGAGCACCUGGUUUAGUAAACGCACGCAAGACACAAAAGACACAAAAGACACAAGUGUUUGUGGUGGAAUCCUAAUGGAAGAGUAAAACAAGCGCUUCACGGUGACCCAAAGGCCGCUGGCUUCUCUUCUCUGCAAAUGGCGCGAAUGUCACUGGAGAGGUCGUCUGCAUUUUUCACACAUUAUUAACAAGACGCUGACGCCGCACUGCAUUCUGGUCCCUCUCCUCACCCCAUGCGGAGGGAGAAAAUUGUUCGCAGCGCGUGUUCUCGGGUAGAUUUCUCCCAGUGUGACGGGCGUCCGUCGCUCGGGGAUUCAGACAGACGGACAAAAUCCACAUUUUAGCUCAACGAAACGUGUCUGAUUGAUUCACUGCAGGAGGUCUGGAAAUAUCUUAAUGGGGGCGGAAAGUUUCAGAUAUUUUGCCUCAAAUUGUGAAUCAGAAGUAGACCUGUCAAUCAACGUGUAGCCCCGCCCUAAAGCAGGUUUAUGGUCUGUUUGACUCAUCCUCCAGCAGAGACCAGUCCACUGUGGACAGACCCACAAGCUCCAGCAGAGACCAGUCCACCGUGGACAGACCCAGAUCCUCCAGCAGAGACCAGUCCACCGUGGACAGACCCAGAUCCUCCAGCAGAGACCAGUCCACCGUGGACAGACCCACAACCUCCAGCAGAGACCAGUCCACCGUGGACAGACCCAGAUCCUCCAGCAGAGACCAGUCCACCGUGGACAGACCCAGAUCCUCCAGCAGAGACCAGUCCACUGUGGACAGACCCAGAUCCUCCAGCAGAGACCAGUGCACCGUGGACAGACCCGACAUAAUCCCCAAUCCCUCUUUUAGCAGUUUUAUGUAAAGUAGCCUUCAAAUACCUCAGGCCUCCUCAGCCAUUUCUUCUCUAAAGCUUUAAUGGAUUUUCCAGUUUUUUUUAUUGCACUGGAUUGUUCAGAAGAAAAGCCGUUAGUCGGCACAGCCGGUAAAAGCUCAGAACCCCUCCAGGUCUUAAAGACCUCGUCUCCUCUCAUUACCUCCAUGGAGACUAAUGACGGCCCAGCACAGCAACUUAACCAGCUCCAAUGAGUUGCUCUCUGUGGCGGCACUUUGCAUCCCAUGACAACGAGUCGAGCGAGUAUAGAUACUCACAGGAGACUCCACUGGGUACAUUUGGUAGCAUUACUAAAUAUUUAUUAUUUGAUUAGGAAAAGAUAAUUCACCUCACAACGUGAUUAUGAGUAUAGACCUUUCAAUGAAAGAUCUCACGAUGAAGAGAAAAGAUCUUGUACAAGAUGAGGUGCUGUCAUUUUGGGUUCUCCUAAUCACUGGAGGUGUAACAAUUCAUCUUAACAACGAUUCGAUUCAUGGACGAUGUGGGUUAAUUUAGAACGACUCGAUUCAGUGACUUGAAAUCGAUUCAGUAACUUUACUGGACGGUGCAGGCAAAGUUUCUGAGAUCCCUGUUGUUUCUGUAAGGAAAUCAGGUUUAAAUUAAUUAUGGAUAUUAUAAACAAGCAAACAACAAUUAAUGGCAAAUGUAUUAACCUUUUAUUUGAAUCAGGUGCCAUUUUCAAUG
ensembl:lncRNA